UACGGGGGGGGCAAGCGUUGUUCGGAAUUACUGGGCGUAAAGGGCUCGUAGGCGGCCAACUAAGUCAGACGUGAAAUCCCUCGGCUUAACCGGGGAACUGCGUCUGAUACUGGAUGGCUUGAGUUUGGGAGAGGGAUGCGGAAUUCCAGGUGUAGCGGUGAAAUGCGUAGAUAUCUGGAGGAACACCGGUGGCGAAGGCGGCAUCCUGGACCAACACUGACGCUGAGGCACGAAAGCGUGGGGAGCAAACAGG
rnacentral:rRNA from 1 species